AAUUAACUGUUUAUGAAUAUUUUGUUAAUUAUCGUCAUAUAGAAUUGCGGUAUUCCGCUGAUUUGCCUUGUAUUAAUGUGGGGAAACCAAAGCGCCCUACUUAUAUUCCAAUUGAGCUUUGUACUUUGGUAUCCUUGCAACGUUACACAAAAGCUCUCAAUACUCUCCAAAGAGCUUCUCUGGUGGAGAAGUCAAGACAAAAACCGCAAGAGAGAAUGACUACUUUAACUAAUGCUCUGAAAAGCAGCAAAUACGAUGCUGAACCUAUGCUAAGGUCUUGUGGCAUUUCAAUCAGUACUAGUUUUGCUCAAGUUGAAGGCCGGGUUUUACCGACCCCAAGGCUAAAAGUAGGCAAUGGUGAGGAUUUCUUUCCCCGAAAUGGGCGUUGGAAUUUUAAUAACAAGAGACUUGUGGAGCCUUGUAAGAUAGAACGAUGGGCUGUGGUGAACUUCUCAGCACGAUGUGAUGUUCGUAAUUUUGUGCGAGACCUUACAAGAUGUGCUGAGAUGAAAGGGAUUCCUAUUGAGCCUCCCUUUGAUGUUUUUGAGGAGAGUCCACAGUUUAGGCGAGCUCCACCUACAGUUAGAGUGGAGAAAAUGUU
rnacentral:misc_RNA from 1 species